GUGAAUUGCAGAAUCCCGUGAACCAUCGAGUUUUUGAACGCAAGUUGCGCCCGAUGCCGCUAGGCUGAGGGCACGUCUGCCUGGGCGUCACGC
rnacentral:rRNA from 1 species